AGCGAACGCUGGCGGCAGGCUUAACACAUGCAAGUCGAGCGGGCAUCCUUGUGGUGUCAGCGGCAGACGGGUGAGUAACGCGUGGGAACGUGCCCUUCGGUUCGGAAUAACUCAGGGAAACUUGAGCUAAUACCGGAUACGUGCGAGAGCAGAAAGGUUUAUCUGCCGAAGGAUCGGCCCGCGUCUGAUUAGCUAGUUGGUGAGGUUACGGCUCACCAAGGCGACGAUCAGUAGCUGGUCUGAGAGGAUGAUCAGCCACACUGGGACUGAGACACGGCCCAGACUCCUACGGGAGGCAGCAGUGGGGAAUAUUGGACAAUGGGGGCAACCCUGAUCCAGCCAUGCCGCGUGAGUGAUGACGGCCUUAGGGUUGUAAAGCUCCUUUCUCCGGGACGAUAAUGACGGUACCGGAGGAAUAAGCCCCGGCUAACUUCGU
rnacentral:rRNA from 1 species